rnacentral:rRNA from 1 species
AGAGUUUGAUCAUGGCUCAGGAUGAACGCUGGCGGCGUGCCUAAUACAUGCAAGUCGAACGAGGUGCUUUGUAGCAAUACGGAGUAUCCUAGUGGCGAACGGGUGAGUAACGCGUUGGUGACCUACCCCAAAGUGUGGGAUAACAGUCCGAAAGGAUUGCUAAUACCGCAUGUGGUCUUCGGAUUUAGAAACUGAUGUCUAAAGGAGCAAUUCGCUUUGGGAGGGACCUGCGUCCCAUCAGCUAGUUGGUGAGGUAACGGCUCACCAAGGCGACGACGGGUAGGGGACCUGAGAGGGUGACCCCCCACAAUGGAACUGAAACACGGUCCAUACACCUACGGGUGGCAGCAGUAGGGAAUAUUGCUCAAUGGGCGAAAGCCUGACGCAGCAACGCCGCGUGAGUGAUGAAGGCCUUCGGGUCGUAAAGCUCUGUCGGAGGGAACGAAUGCUCCCGAGGUUAACAGCCUCGGAAGGUGACGGUACCCUCAAAGGAAGCACCGGCUAACUCUGUGCCAGCCGCCGCGGUAAUAC